CCUUCAGAGUAAAUAAAACAAUGCAAUAUCUGGUACGGAUCCUUGCAAAAAUCCCACUGUAAUCUUUUUUAAUUUUAAUACUUAUCAAUGAAAAUUAGA